rnacentral:rRNA from 1 species
AAACAUAGCUCUGAGAAUUUUAAAGAUUCAGAGUGGUGCCUGCCCAAUGAUAUUUUUAAUGGCUGCGGUAUCCUGACCGUACUAAGGUAGCAUAAUGAAUUGCCUUUUAAAUGGAGGCUGGAAUGAACGGCUUAAAUCGUGGAUAGACUGUCUCUAACAAAGAUGGGUGGAAUUUGAGAUUAAAGUGCAGAAGCUUUAAUAAAACUGAAGGACGAGAAGACCCUAUGAGCUAGAGAAAAUAAUAAAACAGAUUUAUUUAGUUCUUUUUGUUGGGGCGACACUGGAGUAGAUAAAGCUUCCAGAAUAGUGACUAAGAGAAUUUGACCCAGAAAAGUACUGAAACUAGGGUAGCUACCUUAGGGAUAACAGCAUAAUAUUUUCCAGGAGCUCUUAUCUUGGGAAGUGCUUAUGACCUCGAUGUUGGACUAGGGGUACAAGAGGGUGCAGAAGCUCUAUUGUGUUGGUCUGUUCGACCAUUAAAUCCCUACAUGAUCUGA